rnacentral:rRNA from 1 species
CCUACGGGUGGCAGCAGUGAGGAAUAUUGGUCAAUGGACGAGAGUCUGAACCAGCCAAGUAGCGUGAAGGAUGACUGCCCUAUGGGUUGUAAACUUCUUUUAUAAGGGAAUAAAAUGUUCCACGUGUGGGAUUUUGUAUGUACCAUAUGAAUAAGGACAGGCCAACUCCGUGCCAGCAGCCGCGGUAAUACGGAGGAUCCGAGCGUUAUCCGGAUUUAUUGGGUUUACAGGGAGCGUAGGGGGUUUGUUAAUGCAGUUGUGUAAGUUUGCGGCUCCACCGUAAAAUUGCCGUUGCAACGGGCAUUCUUGAUUACAGUAGAGGUGGGCGUAAUUCGUGGUGUAGCGGUGACCUGCUUAGAUAUC